UACGAAGGGGGCUAGCGUUGUUCGGAAUUACUGGGCGUAAAGCGCACGUAGGCGGAUAUUUAAGUCAGGGGUGAAAUCCCAGAGCUCAACUCUGGAACUGCCUUUGAUACUGGGUAUCUCGAGUAUGGAAGAGGUGAGUGGAAUUCCGAGUGUAGAGGUGAAAUUCGUAGAUAUUCGGAGGAACACCAGUGGCGAAGGCGGCCAGCUAGACCAGUUCUGACACUGAGGCGCGACAGCGUGGGGAGCAAACAGG
rnacentral:rRNA from 1 species